AUUAGAGUUUGAUCAUGGCUCAGAUUGAACGCUGGCGGCAGGCUUAACACAUGCAAGUCGAGCGGGGGAGGUUGCUUCGGUAACUGACCUAGCGGCGGACGGGUGAGUAAUACUUAGGAAUCUGCCUAUUAAUGGGGGACAACAUCUCGAAAGGGAUGCUAAUACCGCAUACGCCCUACGGGGGAAAGCAGGGGAUCGCUUGUGACCUUGCGUUAAUAGAUGAGCCUAAGUCGGAUUAGCUAGUUGGUGGGGUAAAGGCCUACCAAGGCGACGAUCUGUAGCGGGUCUGAGAGGAUGAUCCGCCACACUGGGACUGAGACACGGCCCAGACUCCUACGGGAGGCAGCAGUGGGGAAUAUUGGACAAUGGGGGGAACCCUGAUCCAGCCAUGCCGCGUGUGUGAAGAAGGCCUUAUGGUUGUAAAGCACUUUAAGCGAGGAGGAGGCUCUCUUGGUUAAUACCCAAGAAGAGUGGACGUUACUCGCAGAAUAAGCACCGGCUAACUCUGUGCCAGCAGCCGCGGUAAUACAGAGGGUGCGAGCGUUAAUCGGAUUUACUGGGCGUAAAGCGUGCGUAGGCGGCUUUUUAAGUCGGAUGUGAAAUCCCCGAGCUUAACUUGGGAAUUGCAUUCGAUACUGGGAAGCUAGAGUAUGGGAGAGGAUGGUAGAAUUCCAGGUGUAGCGGUGAAAUGCGUAGAGAUCUGGAGGAAUACCGAUGGCGAAGGCAGCCAUCUGGCCUAAUACUGACGCUGAGGUACGAAAGCAUGGGGAGCAAACAGGAUUAGAUACCCUGGUAGUCCAUGCCGUAAACGAUUUCUACUAGCCGUUGGGGCCUUUUAAGGCUUUAGUGGCGCAGCUAACGCGAUAAGUAGACCGCCUGGGGAGUACGGUCGCAAGACUAAAACUCAAAUGAAUUGACGGGGGCCCGCACAAGCGGUGGAGCAUGUGGUUUAAUUCGAUGCAUCGCGAAAAACCUACCUGGUCUUGACAUAUUAAGAACUUUCCAGAGAUGGAUUGGUGCCUUCGGGAAUUUACAUACAGGUGCUGCAUGGUUGUUGUCAGCUCCUGUCGUGGAGAUGUUGGGUUAAGUCCCUGCAACGAGCGCAACCCUUUUCCUUUAAUUGCUGCACUUUCGGGUGGGAACUUUUAGGUAAUCGGCCAGUUACUAACUUGUAGAAUGGCGGGACAACAUCCUCAGUCUAUCUAUGUCCCUUACAUACAGAAUAACCACAAGUGUUACUACCAACCGU
rnacentral:rRNA from 1 species